rnacentral:misc_RNA from 1 species
UGCAACUCGAACGCGCACGUGACGUCAUGUACACAAACACGCUGUUAUUGUUGGUGAUAUUCCUCCUCGUAUCACCGGGUCUUUCAACUUCUCACGAGGACGAACACCACGUGGUAUAGUGAACAUUCUUGGUUUCCUGGCUAUUCUUGGAAGGUCUGCGUCUGUCCUCGCUGCAAGGCACAUCUUGGCUGGAUCUUUGAACCAAUAGAAAAUACCAAACCCAGCCAGUAUUUAGCUUCAAGCAAGGGGUUCUAUGGACUUAUUUUAGAAAAACUGAUAAGUGAAGACUUUUCAGAUUCCUUGCUAAUUGGACUUCCCAAACGACAAAGAUACUAACCAUGGCUGAGGAGAGGCAGGGUGUAUGUGUUGGUGAGGAGAACAUGGUUGAAUUGGACACAGAAUUUUUGAAAAAACUGGAGGAAGAGGCCAAAGAUCGCUUCACAGAAGAUGAUAAGAAUUUCAUGGAGUAUUGCAGCAAACCUCCACCAAAGCCUCCAAUUCUUCCUGCUGAAAGAUUUGAAAGGAAUAGGCGGGGUGGAUUCAGGGGACGCGCAACAGGACAGGCGCAAUAGGGACAACAGAAGGGACUUCGGUGAUGACCGGAGGAGAAGCUGGGGGGCCGAGAGGAGGGAUUUCGGAGGAGACAGGAGAGACUAUGGUGGUGAUAGAAGGGAUUAUGGGGGAGAGAGGAGGGACUUUGGAGGGGAUAGGAGGGAUGUUGGAGAUGACAGGAGGGAAUUUGGAGAGAGGAGAGAAUUCAGAGGUGAUCGAAGGGAAUUUGGAGGUGAUAGGAGGGACUUUGGAGGGGAAAGGAGAGACUAUAGGGGUGAAAGAAGAGAAUAUGGAGGUGAGAGGAGUGACUAUGGAGGUGAGAGGAGUGACUAUGGAGGUGAAAGGAGGGAAUACGGAGGGGAGAGGAAAGACUUUGAAGGGGACCGAAGAAACGAACGAAGGGAAUUUGGUGGAGGGAGAGACCAAGAGUACAGAGAUGAUAGGAGAGGUGAGAAGAGGCCUCACUCAGGGUAUUCUGAGGACCACAGGGGCAGUGGAGAGGGCUAUUACUAAAGGAUUUCAUUAUCCUUCACAUCUUAUAAUGAUAAAGAGCAGGCUCUAUAUAAAAGUAUCUUUUCAUAAAUUACUGUUUUGCAUGCUAGCCAUAUAUACUACUCUAUAUUCUUCUAUGGAGCAGGACUUGGUUCUUGCUGAUUGGCUUUUCUAGUAGCCAGUUUUGUACUUCAGGUUUAGAAUGCCAUUUAUUUUUGUUUGUAAAAAGAGAUAUAUAAAGUACACAUUUAUGAUUCAUCAGGUUUGUUUCGGAGAUAAAAGGUAUAAAGGCUGCUUGGUUUGGUUUUAGAUAUGUAAAAGAAAAAAAUGUAAAAUUUGGAUAAAAUGUAUAUUUUUCCAGACAAAAGUUUUUGAUUUUACCACAUCCUAUUACUAUACAAGUAAAAUGAUUAUGAGGUUUAUUAAAAAUUUGAAAAUUUAAUUGUUAUAUGGAAAGUUUCAUUCAGUAAAAAGAACUGUCAGUAGUGUGUAUCUAUGUGUGAUUUUUUUCCAUCUUUGUAGUCUAAAAAAAUAUACAUGAAACAGAUGUCAGUAUACUAACUAGCAUAACCCAGGAAUUGGAUAUGUAAAUUUAAAGUUUGGUCCUAGAGUCUACAGAAAGCAGUUUGAUAUUUGUAUUCAUUAUUCAGUACUCUGUAAAGUUCUAGUUGAAUUGUAAAUGUCUUGCACUUCUCUGUGAAUGUCAGAAUCUUGUAGAUUCCAAAUAAUUAAACCUUUUAGUCAAAGAUU